rnacentral:rRNA from 1 species
UUUUAAAUUGCUGUGGUAUUUUGACUAUACAAAGGUAUUGAAAUAAGACUUUAAUUGAGUGCUAAGAGAAUGGAAAUACAGAAAAAUUCUUUCUUAAAUUUAAAAAUUAAAGUUAUUUUUAUUUGUGAAGAAACAGUAAUAUUAAUUAAGGACAAGAAGACCCUAAGAAUUUUCUGAAAAAUUAAUUUUUUGAUUGAAAAUUUUCUUUAAUUGGGGCGAUUAAUAAAAAUUUAAAACUUUAUUUAAAUAAAAAAAAAUGAACCAAUAUUAUUGGUCAUAUGAAAAAAAUACUCUAGGGAUAACAGCGUAAUAAUUUUUGAUAGUUCUUAUAGACAAAAUAGUUUGCGACCUCGAUGUUGGAUUAGGAUACUUUUUUAAUGAAGAAGUUAAAAAAAGAAGUUUGUUCAACUUUUAAUUUCCUACUUGAUCUG